rnacentral:rRNA from 1 species
UGGGGAAUCUUGCGCAAUGGGCGAAAGCCUGACGCAGCGACGCCGCGUGAGCGAGGAAGGCCUUCGGGUCGUAAAGCUCGAUAGUGUGGGAAGAAGGGAUGACGGUACCACACGAAAGCCCCGGCUAACUACGUGCCAGCAGCCGCGGUAAGACGUAGGGGGCGAGCGUUGUCCGGAAUUACUGGGCGUAAAGGGCGCGUAGGCGGCCGUUCAAGUCAGGUGUAAAAUACCCGGGCUCAACCCGGGGAUAGCACUUGAAACUGGGCGGCUAGAGGGCAGGAGAGGGGAGUGGAAUUCCCGGUGUAGCGGUGAAAUGCGUAGAUAUCGGGAGGAAUACCAGUGGCGAAGGCGACUCUCUGGACUGACCCUGACGCUGAGGCGCGAAAGCGUGGGGAGCAAACA